ensembl:lncRNA
GUAGUCUGGAAGCCCGGAAGAGGUAGUCUCACCAGAAACCCAGCCCUGCUGGCACUUGGUCUUGGACUUCUCAGCUUUCAGCACUGUGAGAAAAUAUGUUUCUGUCGAUGCCAGAGGUCUGUGGUAUUUUGUUACGGUCUGGCUGCCGAGCAGGAGCACUGGGAACGGAGCUCCGGAGCAGAGCCCACCUCCGCAGGCAGCCCUUGACAGUGCUUAGCGAGCGGAAGGGGUGAUGGUACCUCCUGCUGGAAGGGAGGAAGCCAGGCCCGCCCCCAGCACACUUUGCAGUCAGGAGUCAACUGGAUUUUAAAUCUUAUCUUCAUAGCUCUUCCAAAUGCUAUUAGAGUACCAACUUAGAUUGAAGAGCCAGAAAUUGGAGUUGGAAAGAUCUGGUUUUCCUCCUCACCCACUCUGGGCUAUAAUAACAUCAAAAACAACUGGCCCUAAAUAUGCAGCCUUUUCUGAGAAAAGAGGAACCUGCUGGAUUCUUUCCUCCAGGAGUAGACCUUGCAGAUUAAGACCUGGGAAAGGAGCUGGUCACUGGCUCUGCGUGGUCGGAUGUUCACCUUUCCUCCUGACUCAGAAGGGUGAUGCUCCGGCCCUGAGAUUGGCCAGACGGAAGGGGACUGUCGUUGACUGGGCCCCUGCACCUCACCUGGAGCUGCCUACAUGGAACCCACUAGAACACCCCAACAGCCCGGAAAGGUGGAUAUUACGCCCGCUUUAGAUAUGUGGAAACUAAAUCUCAGGGAAGUCAGGCAUCAUAACUGAGGCCCACAACUCAGGGCCGUAGACCAGGGCUCAAACCUAGGCUGGUAUUCACUUCCAAAUCCAAGGGUCCCUCCCUACCCCCACAUCAAGCUCCUUUCUCAGGCAGAAAGGCUUUUGCCUCCAGGGCAAGUUAUUCUUCAAGCCUCAGUUUCCUUAUCUUUAAAACGAUAAUAAAAAUUC